rnacentral:rRNA from 1 species
UCGGUGACGAGGUGGCUGCAUGGCUGUCGUCAGCUCGUGUCGUGAGAUGUUGGGUUAAGUCCCGCAACGAGCGCAACCCUUGUCCUUAGUUGCCAGCAUUCAGUUGGGCACUCUAAGGAGACUGCCGGUGUCAAACCGGAGGAAGGUGGGGGAUGACGUCAAGUCCUCAUGGCCCUUAUGUCCAGGGCUACACACGUGCUACAAUGGCCGGUACAAAGGGGCGCAAGACCGCGAGGUGGAGCAAAUCCCAAAAAACCGGUCUCAGUUCGGAUUGGAGUCUGCAACUCGACUCCAUGAAGUUGGAAUCGCUAGUAAUCGCGUAUCAGCAUGACGCGGUGAAUACGUUCCCGGGCCUU